GAUGAACGCUGACAGAAUGCUUAACACAUGCAAGUCUUUGGCGAAUCUGUGCUUGCACCGGCUAGCCAAGGCGGACGGGUGAGUAACGCGUAAAGAACUUGCCCUGCAGACAGGGAUAACAGACGGAAACGACUGAUAACACCUGAUACAGUUGCCGGCACGCAUGUGCCUGGCAAUGAAAAGAGAUGCUGCAGGAGAGCUUUGCGUCCUAUUAGCUUGUUGGUGAGGUGACGGCUCACCAAGGCGAUGAUAGGUAGCCGGCCUGAGAGGGUGAACGGCCACAAGGGGACUGAGAUACGGCCCUUACUCCUACGGGAGGCAGCAGUGGGGAAUAUUGGACAAUGGGGGCAACCCUGAUCCAGCAAUUCUGUGUGCACGAAGAAGGUUUUCGGAGUGUAAAGUGCUUUCAGCAGGGAAGAAGAAAGUGACGGUACCUGCAGAAGAAGCGACGGCUAAAUACGUG
rnacentral:rRNA from 1 species